CCUAUUUCUGGUGCCUGACACUUCUGUGUUUCCAGACAGGGUGUCCCAAGUCCAGUGCCACAUGGCCUGGGAUUUCUGGGGUUCUGUGGGGAGUGGAAAUUUUUCCUGGGUGGCCCUCAUUGCUUCUGUCAUCUUCCUCCAUAAACUGUUGCACCUCUACCAUUCUGCCUUGGAGCCAGCUGAUUAUGGACUGAAACCUCUACAAACUGUGAGCUAAAAAAAUCUUUUCCCCUUUAAAAAAAAAAAGAAAAGAAAAGAAAAAGAAAUUUUUCCUGGACAAAGAAACCACAGGCUCACAGCAAAUGUGACUGACUUCACAUCACAAGGUUGGGUUCCUGUCUCUCUGGUGGCUUCUCAUUUUCCUCCUGAAAUGUCAGCUCCACAAGACCGGGGAUUGUGUUUGUCUUCUUCACCUCUCAAUCCCAAGAAAUACAGUGCUCAUGGCCCGUGUAUUAAAGGCUUGGUCCUUAUCUUGGUGCUAAUGGAAGGUGAUGGAAGCAUUUAAGAGACCAUUUGCCAACUAUGAGGAGCUUCUGGUCACAGAAUGCUCAUCUGAUAAACUGCAGCCCUAUUGGCAGCUCCUGGCUUGAGAGGGCUCACAGCUGGCACCCCUGCCAUAUGUACCGCCUG
rnacentral:lncRNA from 1 species